rnacentral:tRNA from 12 species
GGUCUCGUAGCUCAGGGGGAGAGCGUCCGCCUCACACGCGGAAGGUCGCUGGUUCGAUCCCAGCCGGGACCACAA